AGACCCGAAACCCGGUGAUCUAGCCAUGGGCAGGUUGAAGGUUGGGUAACACUAACUGGAGGACCGAACCGACUAAUGUUGAAAAAUUAGCGGAUGACUUGUGGCUGGGGGUGAAAGGCCAAUCAAACCGGGAGAUAGCUGGUUCUCCCCGAAAGCUAUUUAGGUAGCGCCUCGUGAAUUCAUCUCCGGGGGUAGAGCACUGUUUCGGCAAGGGGGUCAUCCCGACUUACCAACCCGAUGCAAACUGCGAAUACCGGAGAAUGUUAUCACGGGAGACACACGGCGGGUGCUAACGUCCGUCGUGAAGAGGGAAACAACCCAGACCGCCAGCUAAGGUCCCAAAGUCAUGGUUAAGUGGGAAACGAUGUGGGAAGGCCCAGACAGCCAGGAUGUUGGCUUAGAAGCAGCCAUCAUUUAAAGAAAGCGUAAUAGCUCACUGGUCGAGUCGGCCUGCGCGGAAGAUGUAACGGGGCUAAACCAUGCACCGAAGCUGCGGCAGCGACACUGUGUGUUGUUGGGUAGGGGAGCGUUCUGUAAGCCUGUGAAGGUGUGCUGUGAGGUAUGCUGGAGG
rnacentral:rRNA from 1 species